GGUUGGCUCAGAAGCAGCCAUCCUUUAAAGAGUGCGUAACAGCUCACUAGUCGAGUGACCCUGCGCCGAAAAUGUACCGGGGCUAAGCCUGAUACCGAAACUGCGGAUUGUAGGAAACUAUAGUGGUAGGGGAGCGUUGUAUACGAGCAGAAGCCGUACCGUGAGGAGCGGUGGAUUGUAUAGAAGUGAGAAUGCCGGUGUGAGUAGCGAGAUGUAGGUGAGAAUCCUACACACCGAAAGCCCAAGGAUUCCAGGGGAAGGUUCGUCCGCCCUGGGUAAGUCGGGACCUAACGCGAGGCCGAAAGGCGUAGUGGAUGGAAAGCAGGCGAAAGAUUCCUGCACCCGUAUAUGGAGCGAAGGAGUGACGGAGACGGAUAGUGUGACCCUCUUAAUGGAUUGAGGGCGAAGCGAAGCGGCUGGUUACCAGGCAAAUCCGGUAACCAAAAGGCUAGAGCGUGACAGGUAAGCGAAAUCUUCGGAAAGUAGCGAAGCACAUGAUGACGGCUUCCAGGAAAAGCUUCUGGCAAUGCAUAUGCGGCCCGUACCAAAACCGACACAGGUGGGCAGGGAGAGAAUCCCGAGGUGAGCGAGAGAACUGUUGCCAAGGAACUCGGCAAAAUGACUCCGUAAGUUAGCGAGAAGGAGUGCUUAAGCAAUUAAGCCGCAGUGAAGAGGCCCAAGCGACUGUUUAACUAAAACACAGCUCUCUGCAAAGUCGCAAGACGAAGUAUAGGGGGUGACACCUGCCCGGUGCUGGAAGGUUAAGAGGAUCUGUUAAGAGCGAUCUGAAGCAGUGAUCCGAAGCCCCAGUGAACGGCGGCCGUAACUAUAACGGUCCUAAGGUAGCGAAAUUCCUUGUCAGGUAAGUUCUGACCCGCACGAAAGGUGUAACGAUUUGGGCGCUGUCUCGGCAGCAGACUCGGUGAAAUCUUAGUACCUGUGAAAAUGCAGGUUACCCGCAACUAGACGGAAAGACCCCAUGGAGCUUUACUGCAGCCUGAUAUUGAAUUCUGGUCAUACAUGUACAGGAUAGGUGGGAGACAAAGAGACGUGCACGCCAGUGUACGAGGAGUCGACGUUGGGAUACCACUCUUGUGUGACCGGGGUUCUAACCUGGUAUCGAGAACAGGUACGGGGAGAGUGUCAGGUGGGCAGUUUGACUGGGGCGGUCGCCUCCCAAAGAGUAACGGAGGCGCCCAAAGGUUCCCUCAGCGCGGCCGGAAAUCGCGCGAAGAGUGUAAAGGCAGAAGGGAGCUUGACUGAGAGCCAAACACGGCAAUCAGGUACGAAAGUAGGGCUUAGUGAUCCGGUGGCAUCCAAGUGGAAGGGCCAUCGCUCAACGGAUAAAAGCUACCCUGGGGAUAACAGGCUAAUCUCUCCCAAGAGUCCAUAUCGACGGGGAGGUUUGGCACCUCGAUGUCGGCUCAUCACAUCCUGGGGCUGAAGUCGGUCCCAAGGGUUGGGCUGUUCGCCCAUUAAAGUGGUACGUGAGCUGGGUUCAGAACGUCGUGAGACAGUUCGGUCCCUAUCCAUCGCGGGCGCAAGAGAUUUGAAGGGGGCUGCUCCUAGUACGAGAGGACCGGAGUGGACGAACCAAUGGUGUACCAAUUAUCUCGCCAGAGGUAUAGUUGGGUAGCUACGUUCGGAAAGGAUAAACGCUGAAAGCAUCUAAGCGUGAAACCAGCCUUAAGAUGAGAUCUCUCAUAGAGCAAUCUAGUAAGACACCUUGG
rnacentral:rRNA from 1 species